AUUGAACGCUGGCGGCAGGCUUAACACAUGCAAGUCGAGCGUGCGGCGUACGUGUGAGUUAUUUCUCGGAAUCUUCCUGAUGCAUGGGGAUCCCUACUGGAAACUGUUGCUAAUACCGCAUUCCAUCCGCUCUGCCCCUAUGGGAUGAGCUAGUAGGUGGGGUAAUGGCUCACCUAGGCGACGAUCACUAACUGGUCUGCGAGGAAGACCAGCCACACUGGAACUGUGACACGGUCCAGACUCCUACGGUAGGCAGCAGUGGGGAAUAUUGCACAAUGGGCGCAAGCCUGAUGCAGCAAUGCCGCGUGUGUGAAGAAGGCCUUCGGGUUGUAAAGCACUUUCAGCGAGGAGGCGUGAAACGAAGAAGAAGCACCGGCUAACUCCGGGCCAGCAGCCGCGGUAAUAG
rnacentral:rRNA from 1 species